rnacentral:rRNA from 1 species
GAUGAACGCUGGCGGCGUGCCUAAUACAUGCAAGUCGAGCGAACAGGCGAGGAGCUUGCUCCUCUGACAUUAGCGGCGGACGGGUGAGUAACACGUGGAUAACCUACCUAUAAGACUGGGAUAACUUCGGGAAACCGGAGCUAAUACCGGAUAAUAUAUUGAACCGCAUGGUUCAAUAGUGAAAGACGGUUUUGCUGUCACUUAUAGAUGGAUCCGCGCCGCAUUAGCUAGUUGGUAAGGUAACGGCUUACCAAGGCAACGAUGCGUAGCCGACCUGAGAGGGUGAUCGGCCACACUGGAACUGAGACACGGUCCAGACUCCUACGGGAGGCAGCAGUAGGGAAUCUUCCGCAAUGGGCGAAAGCCUGACGGAGCAACGCCGCGUGAGUGAUGAAGGUCUUCGGAUCGUAAAACUCUGUUAUUAGGGAAGAACAAAUGUGUAAGUAACUAUGCACGUCUUGACGGUACCUAAUCAGAAAGCCACGGCUAACUACGUG